rnacentral:rRNA from 1 species
CGAACGCUGGCGGCGGGGUUUAGGCAUGCAAGUCGAGGGGGAAAGUCCUUCGGGGCGAGUAUACCGGCGCAAGGGUGAGUAAUGGCUAGUUAAUGUACCCAGAGGACCGGGAUAAUUUCUCGAAAGGGAUUGUAAGACCGGAUGAGACCACGGCGUCCACGGGCGCUGGGGUCAAAGUCGUGGGCUCUUCUAUAAGCUGUUGUUGAAGGAUGGUUCCGCCUCCCAUUAGCUAGUUGGUGGGGUAAUGGCCUACCAAGGCGACGAUGGGUAGCCGGCCUGAGAGGGUGACCGGCCACACUGGGACUGAGAUACGGCCCAGACUCCUACGGGAGGCAGCAGUCGAGAAGCAUCCGCAAUGGGCGAAAGCCUGACGGUGCGACGCCGCGUGAGCGAAGAAGGUCCUAUGGAUUGUAAAGCUCAGAUUGGGAAGAAAGCUUUGCGGUUAAUACCCGUGAAGUUUGACGGUACCAUCAGAGGAAGCACCGGCUAACUCCGUGCCAGCAGCCGCGGUAAUACGGAGGGUGCAAGCGUUGUUCGGAUUCACUGGGUAUAAAGGGUGCGCAGGCGGCCUGAUAAGUCAGGGGUGAAAUAUGUCGGCUCAACCGGCAAACGGCCCCUGAAACUGUCAGGCUUGAGUUCGAGAGAGGUAGGUGGAAUUCCAGGUGUAGCGGUGAAAUGCGUAAAUAUCUGGAGGAACACCGGUGGCGAAGGCGGCCUACUGGGGCAUAACUGACACUGAGGUACGAAAGCGUGGGGAGCGAACGGGAUUAGAUACCCCGGUAGUCCACGCCGUAAACGAUGGGUACUAGGUGUUGGGGGAUUCCCCCCUCAGUGCCGCAGCUAACGCAUUAAGUGCUCCGCCUGGGGAGUACGUUCGCAAGGAUGAAACUCAAAGGAAUUGACGGGGGCUCACACAAGCGGUGGAGGAUGUGGUUUAAUUCGAAGCAACGCGAAGAACCUUACCAGGCCUUGACAUUCCGGGAUCAACCGUGUGAAAGCAUGGGGCUUGUCGCAAGACGUAACCGGAACAGGUGCUGCAUGGCUGUCGUCAGCUCGUGCCGUGAGGUGUUAGGUUAAGUCCUUUAACGAGCGAAACCCCUGCUGUUAGUUGCUAACAGGUAAUGCUGAGGACUCUAGCAGGACUGCCGCGUGUAAGUUGGAGGAAGGUGGGGACGACGUCAAGUCAUCAUGGCCCUUAUGGCCUGGGCUACACACGUCCUACAAUGCAUGGUACAGAGGGCAGCGAAGUCGCGAGGCGGAGCUAAUCUCACAAACCAUGCUCAGUUCGGAUAGUAGGCUGCAAUUCGCCUGCUUGAAGCCGGAAUCGCUAGUAAUCGCGGGUCAGCUACACCGCGGUGAAUAUGUUCCUGAGCCUUGUACACACCGCCCGUCAAGCCACCCGAAUUGGUCGCACCCGAAGUCGUAGUUCCAACCCGCAAGGGAGGUACGCGCCGAAGGUGAGGUCGGUAAGGGGGACUAA